AUACGGAGGAUCCGAGCGUUAUCCGGAUUUAUUGGGUUUAAAGGGUGCGCAGGCGGCCAUUUAAGUUAGCGGUUAAAUCGUGGGGCUCAACCCCAUUCUGCCGUUGAUACUGGGUGGCUUGAUUGCGGUCGAGGUUGGCGGAAUUCGUUGUGUAGCGGUGAAAUGCAUAGAUAUGACGAAGAACACCGAUUGCGUAGGCAGCUGACCAGAUCGCAAAUGACGCUCAUGCACGAAAGUGCGGGGAUCGAACAGGAUUAGAUACCCUGGUAGUCCGCACAGUAAACGAUGAAUACUUGUUUUCGGCGAUAUAAUGUCGGAGGCAAAGCGAAAGCGAUAAGUAUUCCACCUGGGGAGUACGCCGGCAACGGUGAAACUCAAAUGAAUUGACGGGG
rnacentral:rRNA from 1 species